UCUGGCAUAACACAUUUUUUUGUGCAAAUCUAUUCUUUGUUCUUUCUUAACUUCUCAAAAACUAAACAACAAAUCAAAAAUGGGCGCUGAAAAGGUAUCCAUGAACAUCGUUGUCGUUGGACAAGUCCAAUCUGCCAAAGCCGUCAAGACCGUCGCCAAGGCUGCCCCAGCCACCAGCCAAUUGAUGAAUUGUUAAUUCAUGUAGUCAAUUGAUCUCAAACUCAAAAAUGCCAUAGCCCAAACAAUAUGCAAAUGAUAAUGUAUCAAUAAUUUUAUAUUAUUAUGAAUGUAUUGACACCGUAAAAUAAACCACGACUUUUCCGAUA